rnacentral:rRNA from 1 species
UACGAAGGGAGCUAGCGUUGUUCGGAAUCACUGGGCGUAAAGCGCACGUAGGCGGAUUUGUCAGUCAGGGGUGAAAUCCCGGGGCUCAACCUCGGAACUGCCUUUGAUACAGCAAGUCUUGAGUUCGAGAGAGGUGGGUGGAAUUCCUAGUGUAGAGGUGAAAUUCGUAGAUAUUGGGAAGAACACCGGUGGCGAAGGCGGCUCACUGGCUCAUAUCUGACGCUCAGGCGCGCAGCGUGGGGAUCAAACAGG